AGAAUAUAGACAUUCAAGUACUUGUAGAAUAUAGACAUUCAACAAAUAACUGCUUCUUGAAGGCAGUAUGAAAUAAGAAAGCAUGCUGUGCUUGAACUUACAUUAUUCAUAUGCUAGUAAACAAUGAAACAUUAGAUCCUUUUUAGAUUCUGAAGUGUGCUCAAGGCACGCGACACUCGGCAAUGUUCCAGAUCUCUUUUGCAUAUUGAGAAAUUGUACGGUCACUACUAAAUUUGCCACUCCCACAAGUGCUCAGUAUAGACAUCUUUAUCCAUCUUUUCCUGUCCUUGUAAGCUUCAUCAACCCUUGCCUGAGCAUCCAUGUAGCUCGAAAAAUCAUGACCAACAAGAAAAUAGUCUCCGCGACCAUAUCCCGAGUUCCCUUCUAGUGAUUCAAGUAGGGGAUUAUAAUCAUACGUCCCAAAAGCUCCAGACCUAAUAAAUUGUUUCGCCUCUUCAAACCGAGGAUCAGGUUUGAACAGUCCAUUCUCUCGAUCUUUGCGCAGUUGAGGAACCUCAUCAGCUGUUGCACCAAAAAGAAAGAAGUUAUCUUCUCCAAUUUCCUCCCUAAUUUCCACAUUA
rnacentral:misc_RNA from 1 species